UACAGAGGUCCCAAGCGUUGUUCGGAUUCACUGGGCGUAAAGGGUGCGUAGGUGGUCGGGUAAGUCUGAUGUGAAAUCUCUGAGCUCAACUCAGAAACUGCAUUGGAUACUAUCCGGCUAGAGAAUCGGAGGGGGGACUGGAAUACUUGGUGUAGCAGUGAAAUGCGUAGAUAUCAAGUGGAACACCAGUGGCGAAGGCGAGUCCCUGGACGAUUUCUGACACUGAGGCACGAAAGCUAGGGGAGCAAACAGG
rnacentral:rRNA from 1 species